rnacentral:rRNA from 1 species
UCGGCUUAGAGUUUGAUCAUGGCUCAGAACGAACGCUGGCGGCGUGCCUAACACAUGCAAAUCGAGCGAAGUCCUUCGGGAUGAAGCGGCGCACGGGUGGGUAACACGUAGGUGACCUGCCUUUUAGUGGGGAAUAACCAGAAGAAAUUUUGGCUAAUACCGCAUACGAAGUACAUCUUAGAGAGUACUUGAACGAAUUAUGAUUCGCUAUUAGAUGGGCCUGCGGGACAUUAGCUAGUUGGUGGGGUAAAGGCCUACCAAGGCGACGAUGUCUAUCCGGUCUGAGAGGAUGAUCGGACACACUGGAACUGAGACACGGUCCAGACUCCUACGGGAGGCAGCAGUGGGGAAUAUUGCGCAAUGGGGGAAACCCUGACGCAGCAACGCCGCGUGAGUGAGGAAGGACUUCGGUCUGUAAAGCUCUGUUAAUGUGGAAGAAUGAUAUAGGGUAAUCCCUGUAAGUGACGGUACACAUAGAGGAAGCACCGGCUAACUUCGUGCCAGCAGCCGCGGUAAUACGAAGGGUGCAAGCGUUGUUCGGAUUUAUUGGGCGUAAAGCGCGCGUAGGCGGACCUGUAAGUCAGAUGUGAAAUCUCGGGGCUCAACCCCGAAACUGCGUCUGAAACUACAGGUCUAGAAUCUCGGAGGGGAAAGGGGUAUUUCGCAUGUAGGGGUAAAAUCCGUAGAUAUGCGAAGGAACACCAGAGGCGAAGGCGCCUUUCUGGACGAGUAUUGAC